AGAGUUUGAUCUUGGCUCAAGAUGAACGCUGGCGGCGUGCCUAAUACAUGCUAGUCGAACGCACAGCGAAAGGUGCUUGCACCUUUCAAGUGAGUGGCGAACGGGUGAGUAACACGUGGAUAACCUACCUCAAGGUUGGGGAUAACAUUUGGAAACAGAUGCUAAUACCGAAUAAAACUUCGUAUCGCAUGAUACAAGGUUAAAAGACGCUACGGCGUCACCUAGAGAUGGAUCCGCGGUGCAUUAGUUAGUUGGUGGGGUAAAGGCCUACCAAGACAAUGAUGCAUAGCCGAGUUGAGAGACUGAUCGGCCACAUUGGGACUGAGACACGGCCCAAACUCCUACGGGAGGCUGCAGUAGGGAAUCUUCCACAAUGGGCGAAAGCCUGAUGGAGCAACGCCGCGUGUGUGAUGAAGGCUUUCGGGUCGUAAAGCACUGUUGUAUGGGAAGAACAGCUAGAGUAGGGAAUGACUUUAGUUUGACGGUACCAUACCAGAAAGGGACGGCUAAAUACGUGCCAGCAGCCGCGGUAAUACGUAUGUCCCGAGCGUUAUCCGGAUUUAUUGGGCGUAAAGCGAGCGCAGACGGUUGAUUAAGUCUGAUGUGAAAGCCCGGAGCUCAACUCCGGAAAGGCAUUGGAAACUGGUCAACUUGAGUGCAGUAGAGGUAAGUGGAACUCCAUGUGUAGCGGUGGAAUGCGUAGAUAUAUGGAAGAACACCAGCGGCGAAGGCGGCUUACUGGACUGUAACUGACGUUGAGGCUCGAAAGUGUGGAUAGCAAACAGGAUUAGAUACCCUGGUAGUCCACACCGUAAACGAUGA
rnacentral:rRNA from 1 species